rnacentral:ncRNA from 2 species
AGCGCGGGUAAACGGCGGGAG